rnacentral:rRNA from 1 species
CCUACGGGAGGCAGCAGUAGGGAAUCUUCCGCAAUGGACGAAAGUCUGACGGAGCAACGCCGCGUGAGCGAAGAAGGCUUUCGGGUCGUAAAGCUCUGUUGUUAGGGAAGAACAAGUAACGCAGUAACUGGCGUUACCGUGACGGUACCUAACGAGAAAGCCACGGCUAACUACGUGCCGGCAGCCGCGGUAAU